AUGUGACUCCAAAGAUGUUGCCAAGCUCCAGGACUUUGAUGUGGCUUUAUUGCCAUAACUGUGACAUUGCUUGGAUGUCACAGGAAGCCCUGUCAUUAUUUUGCCAUUUAUACACUUUCAUAGGCCAAGUUUCACAGAAAAUGUGAGGUUGAUGGAGACAUACUUAAGAUGUCCUAGGGGAAAGCCUUGGUGGAAAAUUUGGAUUCUAAAAAGAAGCCUCAAAAUCAGUUGAGCAAACAUAGAUGGGCUUGGAUCCAUUUGUUUUAGAAGUUAGUAGAACUAUCUGCUGAGAAGAAAAAAAACCCUACGCAGAUGUGAUUACGGGCAAAGGUCAAAGCAUUCAAAUACUCGUCUUCAAGCAAGUGCUCCUCCCUCCGAUCAUUCUCAAAUUGCAACAAUUGUUCAAACAAAACAGAAGAGAAGCUUCCCAAGAACUGGAAACAACACAAAUCCAAAGUCAAUGUCACCCAAGUUGUAACCAAUGUAAAGGAUUUUAUCUUCCAAAUGCUUUGUUGCUAUGGAGGCUUCAAAUACUUUAUCUUCAACACCCAGAAGAAGAAAAGUCAAGUCAUCCAAAACAGCUACACUAGGCAAAAUUAGGAAGAAAAGGACUCUCUUUGUAGUUAUCACUGAUCCCAGGCUAGGUUUUGAAAUGUGCUUUGUUCAGUUGUACUCACUCUAAUGUUCUUGUUCCCCGAGUCUCCAGUAAAAAAAAAACAACGGAAUGAUGGGCCUCUAAUCAUUGGACAGGAUAUUUGGAGUGCUCGUGUCAUCUACUUGGAUUAUCUCUGUAUAGAAAAGAAUGGCCAGUGAAUUACCUAAGAAUGGUCAUCACAAAACUCCAUAGGGUCUCCAAGACAAACUUUGGCCCUCCAGAUGUUUUGGACUUCAUCUCCCACAACUCCUAACAGCCUAUGGCUGUUAGGAAUUGUGGAAGUUGAAAUCCAAAAAUAUCUGGAGGGCUAGAGUUUGCUCAGGCCUGUUCUAGAUCCACCCUAAUUAGUUAUGCAGAAACAAUGAUUUCAUCUUAACCAGAGCCUGGGUAUGCUUAUUAUUUUGGACCAAAACUCUUUGAAUCCCCAUGUUGGCCAUGCAGAUUGGAGGAUUCUCAACAAAAAACAUAUUUGCAGAGAUAAUAACCAAAUAAAAUAUAAUAAUUUGUAUUCACCAUGAGCUACUUAGUUAAGCACAUCUCUUCAGUCUCAAAACUGCCCCACCAAUCCUGAUGGAAUCAUUAUCAGCUCAUGCUAUGAUGGCCAGGAGA